rnacentral:snRNA from 1 species
AUCGCUUCUUUGCCUUUUGGCUAAGAUCAAGUGUAGUAUCUGGUCUUAUCAGUUUAAAGUUUAUUUUGAGGAAGCGUGU